rnacentral:rRNA from 1 species
AACGCGAAGAACCUUACCGGGGCUUGACAUCGGAGGAACAUCUAAGAAAUUAGGUUUCGGAGCAAUCCGACUUCCAGACAGGUGCUGCAUGGCUGUCGUCAGCUCGUGCCGUGAGGUGUUGGGUUAAGUCCCGCAACGAGCGCAACCCUCGUCGUGUGUUGGUCCGCAAGGAUCUCUCACGCGAGACCGCCGGUGAGAAGCCGGAGGAAGGUGGGGAUGACGUCAAGUCAGCAUGGCCCUUACGUCCCGGGCUACACACGUGCUACAAUGGGUAGGACAACGAGUCGCUAGCUAGUGAUAGUCUGCUAAUCUCUUAAACCUAUCCUCAGUUCGGAUUGAAGGCUGCAACUCGCCUUCAUGAAGUCGGAAUCGCUAGUAAACGCGGAUCAGCUACGCCGCGUUGAAUACGUUCCCGGGCCUUGUACACACCGUAGAGAC